UACGUAGGUAGCAAGCGCUGUUCGGAAUUACUGGGCGGAAAGAGUGUGUAGGCGGUGCUCUAAGGUUGGUGGGAAAUCUCCCGGCUCAACUGGGAGGGUGCGCCGAAAACUGGAAUGCUUGAACAUGGGAGAGGAAAGCGGAAUUCCUGGUGUAGCGGUGAAAUGCGUAGAUAUCAGGAGGAACACCUGCGGUGUAGACGGCUUUCUGGACCAUUGUUGACGCUGAGACACGAAAGCGUGGGUAGCAAACAGG
rnacentral:rRNA from 1 species